rnacentral:rRNA from 1 species
GAUGAACGCUGGCGGCGUGCUUAACACAUGCAAGUCGAACGAUGAAGCUCAGCUUGCUGGGUGGAUUAGUGGCGAACGGGUGAGUAACACGUGAGUAACCUGCCCUUAACUCUGGGAUAAGCCUGGGAAACUAGGUCUAAUACCGGAUAGGAGCGCCUACCGCAUGGUGGGUGUUGGAAAGAUUUAUCGGUUUUGGAUGGACUCGCGGCCUAUCAGCUUGUUGGUGAGGUAAUGGCUGACCAAGGCGACGACGGGUAGCCGGCCUGGGAGGGUGACCGGCCACACUGGGACUGAGACACGGCCCAGACUCCUACGGGAGGCAGCAGUGGGGAAUAUUGCACAAUGGGCGAAAGCCUGAUGCAGCGACGCCGCGUGAGGGAUGACGGCCUUCGGGUUGUAAACCUCCUUCAGUAGGGAAGAAGCGAAAGUGACGGUACCUGCAGAAGAAGCACCGGCUAACUACGUG